GCUCCGCUCCGGGUUUUCCUGGAGACCCAGAGCCCGAGAGGGUCUAAACCUGUGGGCUGGGUGCACGGUAUAUACCCCUACUCAGGCUGGGACUCGAGGAGCGCUCAGCCCUCCGAGGAAGGCUGACUCCAAUGGAGCUUGAGAUAAAGAUGAAGCAGAGGAGAGAUGGCGUGAGGGGAGCAGAACAACUUUGAUUUUUAGUUACUUAACUCGCUCUCGGCUCCUCGCUCCCCUUCCCCAAAACAACUUUCUCUUCCGGGGUCAGGCAGGACCGCCCCCGAAGCGUACUUUGCGCGUCCUGGGCGCCCGAAGCUACGAGAUUCGGUGUGGUUUUGAGGUACCCUGGUCACCAGCAGCCUCAGAAGUGAGCCGGCUGCCCUCAGCCCCGCACCGCGUCGGGGCCGCGACCGUGCCCUCUGGUCCGCGGGCACCGCCUGCAGGCUGUGUAACCUGGGCGCACCUCUUCAGGAAUCAUUGUUUAUACACUGAGUCAGAGGAAGUCCCUCUCCCCAUACCACCAAAAGCAUAGGAGUUAGAAUCUGUAAGAUUCUCAUUGGCGUGGGUGCACCCCCUCAGGAGUCCAAAUGCAAAAACGAGGUCGCAAAGCCACUCUGACAGGUGUGGGGUGAUACCUCCUUGUAGUUUUGAUUUGCAUUUUCCUGAUGCUUUUCCAGGCUGCUCUGCACAUUCCUGUCACCUGGGAGGACUUUGGGCCUGGAAGCACUGAGAAGCUGCAUCAGUUCGCUGAGAACCAUUUGGGUGACAGUGACAUUGAAAUAACCACAGAGCCAAAGCCAAGAUGAUCACCUCCAGUUUACCCAGGGAGACGGGAAAAUUGGACAUCCACAAAAACGAGAGGGUCUCCUGGCAAGGCUUCAAGCUGUGAGUUCAUCGAGCAAGUCCAGGGUGACAUUACGUACAUGUUUAGUAAGUGCUCAUUUAGUACCAUGGCAUCACCAAAGAUGUUCUCUGAAGAGUGAAAAACUUGGAAGGCCCUUGACACCAUUUUAUUUUUUCAGUAAGUUUUCUAUUUUAAUUCCAGAAUUAUUAAUGUGCAGUGUUAUAUUAGUUUUAAGUAUACAAUACAGUGAUUCAACAAUUCUACCCUUUUCUCAGUGCUCGCCAUGAUAAGCAUACUCUUAUUUCACCCAUCCCCCAACCCACUUCCCCUCUGGUAACCAUCUUUUUGUUCUCCAUAGUUAAGAGCC